rnacentral:rRNA from 1 species
CUGGCUCAGGAUGACCGCUAGCUACAGGCUUAACACAUGCAAGUCGAGGGGCAUCGAGAAGAAAGCUUGCUUUCUUGUCGGCGACCGGCGCACGGGUGAGUAACGCGUAUCCAACCUUCCCUAUACUAGAGAAUAGCCCGGCGAAAGUCGGAUUAAUGCUCUAUGUUCUUCUUUGAUGGCAUCUGACGAGAAGCAAAGGUUUACCGGUAUAGGAUGGGGAUGCGUCUGAUUAGCUUGUUGGCGGGGUAACGGCCCACCAAGGCAACGAUCAGUAGGGGUUCUGAGAGGAAGGUCCCCCACAUUGGUACUGAGACACGGACCAAACUCCUACGGGAGGCAGCAGUGAGGAAUAUUGGUCAAUGGGCGAGAGCCUGAACCAGCCAAAGUAGCGUGCAGGAAAACUGCCCUAUGGGUUGUAAACUGCUUUUAUAGGGGAAUAAAGUGAGGUACGUGUACCUUUUUGUAUGUACCCUAUGAAUAAGGACCGGCUAAUUCCGUGCCAGCAGCGGC